CCGGAAUACCUGGGCGUAAAGAGUCAGUAGCAUGAAAUAUAAGUCUGUUUUCAAAUACCGCGGCUCAACUGCGGACAGGGAAUAGAUACUGUAUAUCUUGAGAUUGUUAGGGGUUAGUGGGAUUUCCGGUGGAACGGUGAAAUGCGUUGAUAUCGGAAGGAACGCCAAAAGCGAAAGCAGCUAACUAUAACAAAUCUGACGGUCAGAGACGAAAGCUUGGGUAGCAAAUGGGAUUAGAUACCCCGGUAGUCCAAGCUGUAAAUUUUGCUUGCUAGGUGUUUUGACCCGCUCUGCGGGUUGGAGUGCCGUAAUCUAACGAGUUAAGCAAGCCGCCUGGGUAGUAUAUUCGCAAGAAUGAAACUCAAAGGGAUAGGCGGGGGAACACACAAGCAGUGGAUUGUCUCGAUUAAUUGGAUAUUAAGCCAAAAAUCUGACCUAGACUUGACAUGUACUGUGUCCAAUGCGAAAGUAUUGUAGUCCGGUUUCGGCCGGACACGGUAUACAGGUGGUGCAUGGUCGUCGUCAGCUCGUGCCGCAAGGUGUCCAGUUAAGUCUGGGAACGAGCGCAACCCUCACUCUAUGUUAGAAUGUCAUAGAGGACUGCCCCGGUAACGGGGAGGAAGGAGAGGAUGACGUCAGAUCCUCAUGCCCCUUACGUUUAGGGCUUCAUAGACAAUACAAUGGGUAGUACAGCGGGAAGCGAAAUCGCGAGAUGGAGCAAAUCCUACAAAGCUAUCCCUAGUUCGGAUUGUAGUCUGGAAUUCGACUACAUGAAGUCGGAAUUGCUAGUAAUGGCAGGUCAGCAUACUGCCGUGAAUAUGUCCCUGUUCCUUGCACUCACCGCCCGUCAAACCAUGGGAGU
rnacentral:rRNA from 1 species